rnacentral:piRNA from 1 species
UGUUGAUCAUGAGGGUUUUACAGGCACAA